UUUAUAGUCCACCAUAAUUUUGAAUGAUGUUUCAUAAUAAUGCUAUACUGAAAGCUGAUAUACAAGAAUUGUUUCAGAUGUAGUUCGGUUACUUUAUUAAUCAUUGCAGGAGGUAAGGAAUUGACAUUUAAAAACUGCUGGUAAUUUCUUUGUAACACAAUUUAUUUUCGAAUAUCAGCAUAAAUAACUUUAUGUACAUACAUUCAAAUCUUUGCGUACUUCUGAAAUAGUUACUAAUAUACAAUCUGACAUACGUAUAAAGAAAUAUGUCAAGGAAUCUGAAAUUACCGUUACCUACUGUAUCUGAUUGACCAGGGUACCUCAUUGUUAUGCACCGUUUUCAAAUAAAUUUAUUAUAUAUGCAAUUCUUCUGGCAUGAAUUCAGCUGAUCCAAUCCCCAGAGUUUGAUGCGCGGCGAGAGGUUGAAACAAUAAUGACAGAAAUCAGAAAUGAAUAAAUAACAAUCCAUGGACCACUCAUCUCAAUAACGCUAGGAUUUGGAGAACAAGGCAUAUUGUAACAUAUGAAUCAUAUUGAGAACACCGUAGCUGUUUAAUCCCGAUACGUUUGCACAAUAGAAUAUAUGGGUGACACUAUAAAAGAUCAGCGCUCCUGCAACGACGAAUAAUAUACUCGGCGACAACGAACGUGUAUAUUAUAUCAUGCCUUCGGGAAUUGUGAAUCAUCCUCAUUAAUAAGUUGCGAAGACAUUGCGACAGCUCAGCAGGCCGGGACGAGUGCAAUUUGAUUUAACGAUACAAAUAAUGCCCACAUCCCUACCUACUCAACUGUCACGUUUAUGAAGCAGAGACAAUCUCACAUGUUAUAAUUCCUACUCCGUACGAAAAUGCGACGCUGCAUCCAAAACGACCCGCACGGUUGACGACUGCAAGCGAACUGAUGCCGAUGGCCAGGUGCCCGGGCCCUUUAUUUCUUUUGGGCCCAACUGUAUUAACCAUCCACUAUAUACCCAGCAGCCCCGUGGUGUAUAAAACUGGUGGGGGAAACUUAUUCUUAUUUAACAGCCGAGGACCCGCAGGACCCAAAGGACCCAAAGGAUCUCUUUUCUUUUCUUAUACGGUCUUAUUUCUUUGUUGCGCUCCGAGCGCGCCAAAAUUAUAUCAGCUGUCCUGGA
rnacentral:lncRNA from 1 species